CCUACGGGUGGCAGCAGUCGAGAAUCAUUCACAAUGGGGGAAACCCUGCUGGUGCGACGCCGCGUGGGUGAAUGAAGAUCUUCGGAUUGUAAACCCCUGUCAUGUGGGAGCAAAUUAAAAAGAUAGUACCACAAGAGGAAGAGCCGGCUAACUCUGUGCCAGCAGCCGCGGUAAUACGGAGGUCUCAAGCGUUGUUCGGAAUCACUGGGCGUAAGGGGUGCGUAGGCUGUUUCGUAAGUCGUGUGUGAAAGGCGCGGGCUCAACCCGCGGACGGCACAUGAUACUGAGAGCCUAGAGUAAUGGAGGGGUAAACGGAAUUCCCGGUGUAGCAGGGAAAUGCGUAGAUAUCGAGAGGAACACGAGUGGCGAAGGCGGGUUCCUGGACAUUAACUGACGCUGAGGCACGAAGGCCAGGGGAGCGAAAGGGAUUAGAUACCCCAGUAGUC
rnacentral:rRNA from 1 species